CCUACGUGCGGCAGCAGUGAGGAAUAUUGGUCAAUGGGCGAGAGCCUGAACCAGCCAAGUCGCGUGAGGGAAGACGGUCCUAUGGAUUGUAAACCUCUUUUGCCGGGGAGCAAAAAGCGGUACGUGUACCGCAUCGAGAGUACCCGGAGAAAAAGCAUCGGCUAACUCCGUGCCAGCAGCCGCGGUAAUACGGAGGAUGCGAGCGUUAUCCGGAUUUAUUGGGUUUAAAGGGUGCGCAGGCGGCGAGUUAAGUCAGCGGUAAAAUUUCGGGGCUCAACCCCGACAAGCCGUUGAAACUGGCAGUCGGGAGUUGGAGAGAAGUAUGCGGAAUGCGCGGUGUAGCGGUGAAAUGCAUAGAUAUCGCGCAGAACUCCGAUUGCGAAGGCAGCAUGCCGGCUCCACACUGACGCUGAGGCACGAAAGCGUGGGUAUCGAACAGGAUUAGAUACCCGGGUAGUC
rnacentral:rRNA from 1 species